GCCGGGCGUGGUGGUGUGCGCUUGUAAUCCCAGCUACUCCGGAGGCUGAGGCAGGAGAAUUGCUUAAACCCAGGAGGUGGAGGUUGCAGUGAGCCAAGAUUGAGCCACUGCACUCCAGCCUGGGUGACAGAGCAAGACUCUGUCUCAA
rnacentral:SRP_RNA from 1 species